rnacentral:rRNA from 1 species
AUUGAACGCUGGCGGAAUGCUUUACACAUGCAAGUCGAACGGCAGCAUAGGUGCUUGCACCUGAUGGCGAGUGGCGAACGGGUGAGUAAUACAUCGGAACGUGCCCAGUCGUGGGGGAUAACGUAGCGAAAGUUACACUAAUACCGCAUACGAUCUAAGGAUGAAAGCGGGGGACCGUAAGGCCUCGCGCGAUUGGAGCGGCCGAUGUCAGAUUAGGUAGUUGGUGAGGUAAAGGCUCACCAAGCCGACGAUCUGUAGCUGGUCUGAGAGGACGACCAGCCACACUGGGACUGAGACACGGCCCAGACUCCUACGGGAGGCAGCUGUGGGGAAUUUUGGACAAUGGACGCAAGUCUGAUCCAGCCAUUCCGCGUGCAGGACGAAGGCCUUCGGGUUGUAAACUGCUUUUGUACGGAACGAAAAAGCUCUUACUAAUACUAGGAGUCCAUGACGGUACCGUAAGAAUAAGCACCGGCUAACUACGUGCCAGCCGCCGCGGUAA